rnacentral:sRNA from 1 species
AUGCAACAGCGAUUGCAACGACAUCCUUUUUGCGAAGCAUUCCCGCGAAGUAAAAAGAUACAGUGUAAAGCGCGUUAAGUU